rnacentral:lncRNA from 1 species
GACUUCUAAUUGAUAAUAUUCUGACAUUGAAUUAUCUCAGUAUGACUGUGAUCCUCUGUCUCAAUACAGCAACUAUAUGUUCCAUUUGAUAGAUAAUGUUAAAUGAGGAGGAAACUGAAGUGUGAGUCAGGACAUACAUGACUUGCCUGAACAAGAAGAAUUUUCCAAGAGAAAGUAGAGGACGCAUGUACCUCCCUGAACUCAACAAGAAAGGUCAAGGAUAAACAGCACGAUGCAUGAAGUUCCUUUGUGCUCAACAUGUUCAGGUCACCUGGAGAAACCACAGAGGCACUGGGCAAAAUGUGAAGCAAGGAACGUGUUGAUGAGUGGCAUCUGGU